rnacentral:lncRNA from 1 species
AGGGGCUGAGAAGCAGGGUUGGGUUCAAUUGCUUAUACUAAACUCUCACUCUCUCCUCUUUGAGUCAGAAGAGGUGAAUCCACCCACAAGCCAUGAAUAAACAAGGGCCAAGGGCCAGUCUUAAAUGCUGUCCAGUGUCUGGGCAGUAAUAAUUGGUCAGUACAGGGAAAAUGUAAUCAAACCCUCCCUCCAGAGAGGUUUUUCUUUAUUUUGACAAAGUGGGAAAAAGCUAAUGGGACAAGACAUGCCUUCAUAUUUUAUUAUAGAAUGAGAUGGGCUUACUGUUUGGAGGCUUUAACUGAGGUUUCUUUCUUUCUUUUUUUUUUUUUACUCCUUAUUAGAAUUCUUCUUGUUUGGAUUUAAAUGUCUAUUCUCAAGAUAACAGCAGCACCGUCACCAAAAACCUUGAAAUUAGCAUUAGAAGAUGCUGCCAUCUGACAUUCUUAGGCUGCCUGCUUUCCAUUCUGUUUGUAAGCAGUGGAAGAACAAAACAGAACAGAAAAAAACCAACAAACAAAAUCCAAAUGCCAAUGGUUCUUGCUUAAUGUCUGCCAUACGAAAUCGGCCACCUGCAAUGGGAUGAGUUCCGUAGCUAUAACUCUGGCUGGGUGAGUUCUGAAUCUAGUGCAGCUCUACAUUUGCUGACUGGACAGAUUUUAUUACCAAUAAAAUGAACAUAUAAUGCUCAUAAGCCUCAUGAGCAAGUUCAUUUUUCAUGAAUUCAACACAUUAAUUAAUUCAACCCGUAUUUAUGAAGCAUCUUCUACUGGUCUUAGGGGCAUAGUGAAUAAAAUAAAAUAGAUGUGACCUCUGAUGGAGGUUUCUGUCUGAUAAGGUAGAGAGAAGAAAAGAGAGAACUACAACGCAGGUGGGUGGGUGCAUA